UGAUGGUAUGAUGAAUCUUGAAAUGGAAUCUUCGCAUGUCAGACUUCAGAGAUACCUCGAGUAUCGAUGAGAAGCCAUUUCAUUCUUCUGAGCCAGCU
rnacentral:snoRNA from 1 species